rnacentral:rRNA from 1 species
GAGGGUAAACCUGCGAAGGUCAAUA